rnacentral:rRNA from 1 species
UAUUGCCCCAGUAACGGCGAGUGAAGCGGCAACAGCUCAAAUUUGAAAUCUGGCCCCCUCUACGGAGGUCCGAGUUGUAAUUUGCAGAGGAUGCUUCUGGCGCGGCGCCUUCCGAGUUCCCUGGAACGGGACGCCACAGAGGGUGAGAGCCCCGUCCGGUUGGACGCCUAGCCUGUGUGAAGCACCUUCGACGAGUCGAGUAGUUUGGGAAUGCUGCUCAAAAUGGGAGGUAUAUGUCUUCUAAAGCUAAAUACCGGCCAGAGACCGAUAGCGCACAAGUAGAGUGAUCGAAAGAUGAAAAGCACUUUGAAAAGAGGGUUAAACAGUACGUGAAAUUGUUGAAAGGGAAGCGCUCAUGACCAGACUUGGGCCCGGGGGAUCACCCGGCGUUCUACGCCGGGGCACUUCGCCGGCUGCCCAGGCCAGCAUCAGUUCGCGGCGGGGGAUAAAGGCUUCGGGAACGUGGCUCCCUACGGGGAGUGUUAUAGCCCGCUGCGCAAUGCCCUGCCGCGGACUGAGGUUCGCGCUUCCGCAAGGAUGCUGGCGUAAUGGUCAUCAGCGACCCGUCUUGAAACACGGACCAAGGAGUCGUCUUCGUAUGCGAGUGUUCGGGUGUCAAACCCCUACGCGUAAUGAAAGUGAACGUAGGUGAGAGCUUCGGCGCAUCACCGACCGAUCCUGAUGUUCUCGGAUGGAUUUGAGUAAGAGCAUACGGGGCCGGACCCGAAAGAAGGUGAACUAUGCCUGUAUAGGGUGAAGCCAGAGGAAACUCUGGUGGAGGCUCGCAGCGGUUCUGACGUGCAAAUCGAUCGUCAAAUAUGGGCAUGGGGGCGAAAGACUAAUCGAACC